GUCCUUGUAGCGUAAUGGAUAGCGCGUUGGACUUCUAAUCCAAAAGUCGUGGGUUCAAAUCCCACCUGGGGUU
rnacentral:tRNA from 1 species